GCUGGGCAUGGUGGCGCGUGCCUGUAAUCCCAGCUACUCAGGAGGCUGAGGCGGGAGAAUUGCUUGAACCCAGGAGGCGGAGGUUGCAGUGAGCCAAAAUUGCGCCAUUGCACUCCAGCCUGGGUAACGAGAGCAAAACUCCGUCUCAA
ensembl:misc_RNA Metazoa_SRP Metazoan signal recognition particle RNA